GGCGCAUUCAACUUUCUGGGGGACCCUAUGCAGACAAGUGAACCCUUUCUUGCUUCAAAUAUCUAUCGCUCCCUCACAAGGAACCCUGGGACCAGAGAUACCAAGCUAGUGACUUUCAGGAACAGGCUGUAAAGUGGACAUCCAGACAUGGUCCAUCUUUCCUGGUAGCUAAACCCAGAUGAGGUUCUGAACCUGCCUUGGGAGUUGAGGAGGAACCCAGGCCUCUGGAGUGAUGACUCCCCAGUAGCUAAAGGACCUGGAUAGGCAACCCCAGCUAGGAUGGACACAAGUCCAAUGUAAAUUUGCAUCAUAAGAAAGGGGUUGGGUCAUGAUGCAGAAAUAAGGGGUCCCACUUCAGUGACUGGACCUAGGGACGCACACUGGGAUGUCUCGAGUCCCACCGGUACCUUUGCUUCUUCACUCUUGGUGUGGCCUUGUCCUCUCCAACCACAGCUGGCUUCCCCCACCGGGUGGGGAAGGUUCCAGCAGUACCCUCAGUUCAUCCUUCUACUCCAUGACCCCAAAGGCAAGGUCCUUCCUCCAUCUUCAAAUAAAAGUCCUAAGGAAGGACUUACUGGGGUUGACCUUCUCGUUCCUGAACAAUCAGUGUGAUUAAUGCGACACUGUCAGGGCUGGGACCACAUGAUCAGGGGAACGAGGAACUGAGGAGACGGGUUUUGCUGAGCAGACCUGAACAGCAGAUAUCUUCUACAAUCAUCACUGUGAUCAGCAGCCUCCAAGCUGGCCCUCACUGACCCCCGCCCCUUGUGUUCACAUCUUUGGAUGUCCCUGCCGCAUGGGACCAUGUCAUGUGAGCAGCCCCUUGCAGAGUCCACACGAUGAGCUGAGGCCUCAAGUCCACAGCCAGGUGAGGGCGUCUCCUUGGACGCCCAUCCUAGCACCACACAAGCUCCGAAUGACCACAGCCCUGGCUGUCACCUUGACUGCACUAUUGUGAGAGCCCCAGAGCCAGAACUAACCUGUCAUCUACUCCGGGACUCCUGACCCUCAGAAACUGGACGGGGUGACUGAUGGACUUUCCAAGAGCAGCUGGCCUGAAGCCCCUCGGCUGACAGUGAGCAGGAACAAGAGCCAACGCCUCCUCCGUGCUCAGGAACAAAGGGAGGAGUUCAAGGGACAGACGCCCUCUGCUCCUGUCCCCUUCCCACGACCCAGGCUAAAAGGGCAGCCCUUCCAUACCUCCUGAGGCUUCACUUUGCUCAUGGAUCUUGGCACCUAGUGUCAGUGCAGACACCAAGGACACACCCUGACUGGUGGCAGUGCAGACACCUAGGACACACCCUGACUCAAACCAGGAGUUCACUGUGAGAUUGUCUCUGAGUCAGUUAAGGGAAGCCCCGCUGAAAUGUCCUGACGUGCAGAGUUCAGAGAGUGGAGGAAGUACAAAUGAGUAAACAGAAGUUAGGAAGUACAGAAAGAACAGAGAGAGCAGGUGACAGAAAUGGCUGAAAGUGAAGCUGACAUCCUGGCAGGAGAUGAUGCCUCUGAAGUGGGGCCUGAGAGCCAAGGGAGGCCUGGGGAGCCAGUUGUCCUACAGACCAUCCCUUCUAGGGGCCAGGUCAUGGGGCAUCUGAUUCCUUAAACUAACCCCUAUUGCCAAGAGCACAGGAGCCUCCCUCUGGGCCACUGCAGAGGGGAACUGGAGCAGGGUGGGUUCAUUCAAGCUCACCUCUCACCUGAGGCCUGGAACACAGCCAGCCUUCAAAGCACACUUGUUAAAUAAAUGAGUUUCAAUAAAUGGAUCAAUAGUCUGUUUUCCCAAAACCUCAUUUCCCACAACAUCCUAGGAAUAACUCACAGAUAUGAAGGGCUGGCUUCCCAGUUGACAAGUUG
ensembl:lncRNA